AUGGGGACGGCUGCAAACAGAAAUGGCGUAGGCAUCUUGAUCAACAAGAGCCUCAAGUAUGGAGUGGUAGACGUCAAGAGACGUGGGGAUCGGAUUAUCCUGGUCAAGCUGGUAGUUGAGGACUUGGUUCUCAAUGUUAUCAGCGCGUAUGCCCCGCAAGUAGGCCACAAUGAGAACACCAAGAGGGAGUUCUGGGAAGGCCUGGAAGACAUGGUUAGGAGUGUACCGAUUGGUGAGAAGCUCUUCAUAGGAGGAGACCUCAAUGGCCACGUGGGUACAUCUAACACAGGUUUUGAAGGGGCGCAUGGGGGCUUUGGCUAUGGCAUCAGGAAUCAAGAAGGAGACGAUGUCUUAAGCUUUGCUCUAGCCUACAACAUGAUUGUAGCCAACACCCUCUUUAGAAAGAGAGAAUCACAUCUGGUGACUUUUAGUAGUGGCCAACACUCUAGCCAGAUUGAUUUCAUCCUCUCGAGAAGGGAACAUAGGCGUGCGUGCCUAGACUGUAAGGUGAUACCUGGAGAGAGUGUUGUACCCCAGCAUAAGCUGGUGGUUGCUGACUUCCGCUUUCGGAUUCGUGUCCAGCGGGAUAAGCGGGCUAAAGUCGCUAGAACGAAGUGGUGGAAGCUCAAGGGGGAGGUAGCUCAGGCGUUCAAGGAGAGGGUCAUUAAGGAGGGCCCUUGGGAGGAAGGAGGGGAUGCAGACAAUGUGUGGAUGAAGAUGGCGACUUGCAUUCGUAAGGUGGCCUCAGAGGAGUUUGGAGUGUCCAGGGGAAGGAGAAGCGAAGAUAAGGAUACCUGGUGGUGGAAUGAUGAUGUCCAGAAGGCGAUUAAAGAGAAGAAAGAUUGCUUUAGACGCCUAUACCUGGAUAGGAGUGCACACAACAUAGAAAGUACAAGAUGGCGAAGAAGGCCGCAAAGCGAGCUGUUGGUGAAGCAAGGGGUCGGGCGUAUGAGGACCUCUACCAACGGUUAG
rnacentral:rRNA from 1 species